AGAGUUUGAUCAUGGCUCAGAAUCAACGCUGGCGGCGCGCUUAACACAUGCAAGUCGAGCGAGAAAGUGGAGCAAUCCAUGAGUACAGCGGCGUACGGGUGAGUAACACGUGGGUGAUCUGCCUCUUAGUGGGGAAUAACCCUGGGAAACCGGGGCUAAUACCGCAUAAUCCUGUGAAGGGAAAGCAGCAAUGCGCUGAGAGAGGAGCCCGCGGCCGAUUAGCUAGUUGGUGAGGUAACGGCCCACCAAGGCGACGAUCGGUAGCCGGCCUGAGAGGGCACACGGCCACACUGGCACUGAAACACGGGCCAGACUCCUACGGGAGGCAGCAGUGGGGAAUCUUGCACAAUGGAGGCAACUCUGAUGCAGCGACGCCGCGUGAGCGAUGAAGCCCUUCGGGGUGUAAAGCUCUUUCGGCAGGGACGAUAAUGACGGUACCUGAAGAAGAAGCUGCGGCUAACUACGUGCCAGCAGCCGCGGUAAUACGUAGGCAGCGAGCGUUGUUCGGAAUUACUGGGCGUAAAGAGUGUGUAGGCGGUGCUCUAAGUUCGGUGUGAAAUCUCCUGGCUUAACUGGGAGGGUGCGCCGGAAACUGGAGUGCUCGAGCGUGGGAGAGGAAAGCGGAAUUCCUGGUGUAGCGGUGAAAUGCGUAGAUAUCAGGAGGAACACCUGCGGUGUAGACGGCUUUCUGGACCAUUGCUGACGCUGAGACACGAAAGCGUGGGUAGCAAACAGGAUUAGAUACCCCGGUAGUCC
rnacentral:rRNA from 1 species